UCCCUUUCAUAUUUUCUCAGCUGCUAUCUGCUUAUUUCGUAUUGCCGUAUCUCUCAUAUUUUCGUAUUGCUCUGAUUUACUUUUUAUUAGUCCUUUCGCCUUUUCUGUUAUGUAAUCCAUCUCCUUGUCGCCUAUUCUUUAUCUUGAGCCGGGGGUCUAUCAGAAACAACCUCUCUACUUCUUCAGAGGUAGCGGUAUGGACUGCGCACAUCUUACCCUCCCCAGACCCUACUUUGUGGGAACACACUGG
rnacentral:lncRNA from 1 species